CUGACAUGUCGCUCUCCCGAGCGGACGGGGGCUGCCACCGAGAGCGGGCAGCGGCGGCCAGCGCGGCGCGGGGUGGGGCCCGUCUUCUGCUGCAGUGCCAUAGAGUAGGGGAACCCGGCAUCCAGCGAUGGGGCCCGCGGAGGCGCCGCUUCCUUUCCCCCUACCGUUCACCGGCUAGGCUGAAGAAAUCCUAAGGACUCUCUCACAAAGCCCAUCACAAAGUGCAAGAUGGAAGAAACAAGUGUCCACACAAGGAAGCCCGGAUUCAUUGAUGAGAUGAGGUGGAGCCUGCAAUAGGAGAAAAAUAUUUAUUUCUGUUGCAAUAUUCAUAGAGUCUAAGACCACUGUGAUCAUCCCAAAAAUAAUUGCUAGUGCAGCUCUUUUAGAAAAAUAGCUAAUUUGAUUUAAAAAUUAACAGUGAAGGAGAAAUCCACCAUGACCCUUGGUAAAUUGUUGCAAUGGUUAAUUACCUUUGCUGGUAAAAAAUUGCUAUUUAUUUCCUAUUUGAAUUUGCCUAGCUUUGACUUCCAGCCAUUGGCUCAUGUUGCAUUUUUCUCUGCUAGAGUGAAGAGCCCAUUAUUAAAUAUUUGAUCCUCAUGUAGAUGCUUAUUCACUAUAAUCAAGUCACCCCUUAGCCUUCUGUUUAUUAAGCUAAAUAGAUAGAGGUCCUUAAAUCUGUCACUAUAAGGCAAGUUUUCUAAUCCUUUAAUCAUUCUUGUGGCUCUUCUCUGAACCUUCUCCAAUUUAUCAAUUUAUUAUUUAAAGUCUUCAUUGCACAAAGCACUAUACAAAAUAACAGACAUCCCAAGCCCCACUGAGUUAACAAUCUAGGAUUUAAAGAAUAAACAACAGGUGAAUAAACAGUGAACAGGUGGAACAAGAAGUAUAAGGGAAGAGAAGAAUGUGGGUAUUUGCACUGCUAGUGUUCACCACUAAUGACUAAAGACAUAGCAGUAUGUUAGUUUUACAUUGAAACUCUCAAAUUUCAUACCUCAGUUACUACUGUGUAGACAAAAAGUUUGCAGUAUCACAAUGCUCAAUGUAUUCCAGAAAAUCUGUAAGUGGGAAGGGAAAUUGAAUUCCCAUAGCUCCAUUUCGGAGUAGUUAAAACGGAUAUUACUCAGGAAAGGGGUAUGCUGUGGGCUUGCUUGAAUAAAGAAGCAGUUGCAGUUGAGAAUCUUCACCAUUGUUUAGGGGCUGGUCCAGGAGCGCAAAAGAGUGAGAAAGAGCAAGUAGAAUAAUAUCAUCAUUAUAGCUGUGAUUGACCUGAGUUAUCUAAGUGAGGUGACAAAUGCCUUUCUAAACAGACUAGUCAAGAUGAGGUUUUUAUUUACAAUGGGAAGAAGAUGAAACAAAGCUCAAAUUAAAGGUUUUGUUAGAAAUAAGUAAAACCUCGAUUAUGGGUUUAGAGAAGUAUGUGAAGUACUUAAAGUGACAAGAGACUAAAUUUCACUGAAGUUACUGGGUCAAAUUCAUCCUUGGUGGCUCUCCAUUUAUCUGUUUAAUAGCAGUGAAGUUACACUAAGGGUAAAUUUAAUCCAUUGUUUUAUAUUUGGAAAGAGGUGCAUGGUAAGGCUGAAGAUUAAAUUAUUUUAUUAAGUGGGAAAUCAGAAGUGAAAGUUUUGGAAGCACUGUAAAAGGGAGAGGUUGAAAUAAGGUGCAGCAGUGCAAAGAAUUAUGUUUUUGAGGGUUGGGUAAAAAUUUCAUUGAAGCUGAUGAGUGUAACUGUCAUCCUUCAUUUAAAAUAGCUGUAAGAAACCAAUGAGUUUCUUUAUGGACCCAGAAAUCUGAAACAAUAACAGCCACCACGUAAAACACAAGUAUGUCACCACCCAGAACAAAGGUACAUGUGGGCAGAGAGGUUUUGCUGUGUGUGGUUUUGAGUAGAGGUGUAUGAGAAAGAGACAGAGAGAAGAAAGAAAAACGCUAUAGAAACACAAAGAGAAGGAGCAUAAACCUGAACAAAAACUGAGAGUAUGGCCCUGAAAAAAGCCUAGAGAGAGAGCUUUUGGGCUGAGUGCUGGCUGAAAGAUGCUCAGGAUGGAAGCAAAGACACUAUUUCUGUUGUUUGAUUCCUGCUGUGUUAAGGGAAACAGGAUUUCGCGCAUUCUUUGUGAAUAAACAAGAUUGUAUCAAAGAGACCUGAUUCCGUCAUCAAUUUCUCCUAAUGGAAACACUGCACAGGGCCUGAACUUUGGCUGACUGGUCAGGUAAAAAAUCUAAAAUAAAAUAGUCAAUCAAUUACUAUAUUUAAUCCAGACAGAUAAUUUGUAUUUAGAAGUAAAAAAAAAAAAAAAAAAAAAAAGGCACUUCCUUGUUUGAGCUGAACCAGGUUCCUGAUCGUUUCAAUGUGGUUUCUGAAUGGAUUACUGAAGAGAAUGAAAGGUAUUGAUUAG
ensembl:lncRNA